rnacentral:rRNA from 1 species
UACGUAGGUGGCAAGCGUUGUCCGGAUUUAUUGGGCGUAAGCGCGCGCAGGCGGUUCGAAAAGUCCAUGGUGAAAGCGCCUGGCUCAACUGGGCGAGUGCCGUGGGGACUGUCGAGCUUGGAGGGAAGCAGAGGCGAGUGGAAUUCCGGGUGUAGUGGUGAAAUGCGUAGAGAUCCGGAGGAACACCAGUGGCGAAGGCGGCUCGCUGGGCUUUACCUGACGCUGAGGCGCGAAAGCGAU